GUUAAUCUGGAUUAGCGAUGGAAAAUCAUGCGGGUGGAGGAUUAGUGCUGACGUGGCCACACUGGAAUGGAUGCUGAUGUGGACAGUUUGCAUAUUGAGAGAAUUGGUUGUAGUGGGGAUCAACUUCUUAAGAAUGUAAGAUGUAAGAUACCCGUGGUCCAGAAUAUUAUCUGUUGCGUACUUGCGUGAGCGUGUGCCCUGUGAGAGGCUGGUUGACGCCUCAUAGUGUUGUAGUCCGCGGGGGAGAGCGUGCAUGGCAGCGGCAGCAGCAAGGGAUGGAGGCCUGCCGGGUCGACGACUUCCCUGUGGAUCUGAUCUGCAGGUUGCCGAUCUUCCAGGAGCGGCCACAGCCCGCAGAUCCUGGUCGAGAUGAGGGGAGCGAGGUUGGGAUUGGGGAGGGGAUGUGCUUCGGGAUUCUUCCGUGGCUGUCCACAACCACGGCGCGGCGGCCGACGGCGAGGGGAGUAUGGAGAAUGCCCCGGCCAUGAAGCCGGACCCGAGAUCGCCCGGCUGGAUUAGAAGAGUUCGUUUAGGAGCUAACCAGUCAGAGGGAACCCCCUGUCCUGGUAGGAUGGGGGCCUUCGAGAAAAUAAUAAAAGGCUUUGCGGAACCAGAUGGAAAGGAUGCUGUUAAGCCAGAAUUACGCAUGACUUUUUGAUAGACCUUGCGGAUCGGAGUAGGCUAG